GAUGCCGGAUGAUUCAUUUUACAUCACAACGUUUUAGAAAGGCAGAAGUAUUCGAGUCUCCGUUUUUGUUCUUUAAAUUUGAGACAGACUUAGCCAAGGGCCUUGAGAACUUUGUAAACGCCGUGAACAUGACUACGGGGGUCAAGGAACACAGGCUGUACUACAACAGGGUGGUUACACUCGGACGAAGUUCAGGACGUUUGUCGUGGUACCAUCAACGCGCUUUCAGGCAGACGUCGACAGUUGGGUAUCUUUCCGGUUAGUCGUCGAAUCCGAGACGGAAUGGGAUCAAGACUUCGGCAACUACUUUGAGGGAUGGUUGUGUGUGCUACUUUGGGCACUCAUGGACAGGGUCGACCAAAAUAGUUUUUCUUCACCCCCAACCCUACAGCGCGUUAUCGUCUCUAGCAUUACAUCAUAAGUGAUUGCAGUUAUGCUCCUACAUUUGACCGGUAUGUGCAAACCAUUACGCGCGAUUUUAAAUUAUGCCUCAUUGUCUUACUACAGUUGAACUAUUGUCAUCGCAUUACUUCUCGUUGCAUCAGCAAGGAUUUUAUUUUAUUUUUCGCGGGCAAUAAAACAUGUGUCAAAUAUUGAA